rnacentral:rRNA from 1 species
UGUAGUCAUAUGCUUGUCUCAAAGAUUAAGCCAUGCAUGUCUAAGUAUAAGCAAUUAUACCGUGAAACUGCGAAUGGCUCAUUAAAUCAGUUAUCGUUUAUUCGAUGGUCCCCUACUUGGAUAACCGUGGUAAUUCUAGAGCUAAUACAUGCGAAAAACCCCGACUUACGAAGGGGUGUAUUUAUUAGGUAAAAAACCAAUGCCCUUCGGGGCUCCGUGGUGAUUCAUAAUAACUCAACGUAGCGCAUGGCCUUGCGCCGGCGCAAGAUCGUUCAAAUACCUGCCCUAUCAAGUUUCGAUGUGAGGGUAGUGUCCUCACAUGCUCGCAACGGGUAACGGGGAAUUAGGGUUCGACUCCGGAGAGUGGGCCUGAGAAACGGCCCACACAUCCAAGGAAGGCAGCGGGCGCGCAAAUUACCCAAUCCCGACACGGGGAGGUAGUGACAAUAAAUACUGAUACAGGGCUCUUUUGGGUCUUGUAAUUGGAAUGAGUACAAUCUAAACCCAUUAACGAGGAACAAUUGGAGGGCAAGUCUGGUAAUCG